GCACCGCUGCCCCGGCCUAGCUGACAAUGCAAGGUUGCUACUGCUGUAUAUAUUCACGACGUGCUUUAGCCAUUGGACUUAAUGAAGAUGUAAUCUGAGUUCAAGGAGAUUGAUGUUGAAGUGCCAACUGAGGAGGAGGAAUCAAGUGAAGAAGAGGAUACAACCACAAAGACCUCAGAGGAAGAAGAGAUAGAAGAUGGUGAAGAUGAAAAGCCCAAGAGCAUGCCUGUACUCUGUCAAGAACAUCCCAU